rnacentral:lncRNA from 1 species
ACUCCAAUUCUGCUCUGAUCUCAGGCCCAUUCCCUGGAGCCCGGUGAGGCAGUUCCCAGCUGAUAGGACAGAGGCCAGCUCCAGACCAUGCAGAGCUCCUCAGCAGGGAGCAGUUGGUCUUUAGCUGUCGUUACAGCCAUAAUGACAUUCAGACCCAAGAUGCCCUGUCCCUCCUUGCAUCUCCCUCCUGCUCUCUGAAAGUGAAGCAGGAAGACAAGAACAAGACUUUCAGUUCGUGGGAUGAGCAAGUUUCCCUCCUUCAAAGUGAUCUCUUCCUCGCAUCCAGGCUAGAUUGUCUGCAGUAGAGAUGCUAGAACUCAAUAGAAUUUAGCUGGAAAGUAAAGGAAAAUAUAACAUACUUUCAGGUAGGGGUACCUGACUUGAGUUAAAGUGCUUUUUUUUUUUCCUGUUUUUAUUUUAUUUUAUUUUUUUUUAUUAAAUUUUAUUUUCCCACUGUACAGCAAGGGGGUCAGGUUAUCCUUACAUGUAUACAUUACAAUUACAGUUUUUCCCCCACCAUUUCUUCUGUUGCAACAUGAGUAUCUAGACAUAGUUCUCAAUGCUAUUCAGCGGGAUCUCCUUGUAAAUCUAUUCUACGUUGUGACUGAUAAGCCCAAGCUCCCGAUCCCUCCCACUCCCUCCCCCUCCCAUCAGGCAACCACAAGUCUCUUCUCCAAGUCCAUGAUUGAUUUUCUUUUCUGAGGAGAUGUUCAUUUGUGCUGGAUAUUAGAUUCCAGUUAUAAGUGAUGUCAUAUGGUAUUUGUCUUUGUCUUUCUGGCUCAUUUCACUCAGUAUGAGAUUCUCUAGUUCCAUCCAUGUUGCUGCAAAUGGCAUGAUGUCAUCCUUUUUUAUGGCUGAGUAGUAUUCCAUCGUGUAUAUAUACACAUCUUCCGAAUCCAAUCCUCUGUCGAUGGACAUUUGGAUUGUUUCCAUGUCCUGGCUAUUGUGAAUAGUGCUGCAAUGAACAUGCGGGUGCAUGUGUCUCUUUUAAGUAGAGCUUUGUCCGGAUAGAUGCCCAAGAGUGGGAUUGCAGGGUCAUAUGGAAGUUCUAUGUAUAGAUUUCUAAGGUAUCUCCAAACUGUUCUCCAUAGUGGCUGUACCAGUUGACAUUCCCACCAACAGUGCAGGAGGGUUCCCUUUUCUCCACAGCCCCUCCAGCACUUGUUAUUUGUGGAUUUAUUAAUGAUGGCCAUUCUGACUGGUGUGAGGUGGUAUCUCAUGGUAGUUUUGAUUUGCAUUUCUCUUAUAAUCAGCGAUGUUGAGCACUUUUUCAUGUGUUUGUUGGCCAUCUGUAUAAAGUGCUUUUAGUUUAAAGCUGUUCUUAUUAGGGAUGUGUGUGUUUGUGUGUGCACAUGCAUUUGCACCAGACAAAGAAAGAUGCUAUUUCUACGCUGCAAUCUCCUGCCCGGUUCUUAGGCCAACUUCUAUCAAGCAGUUCCACCUUGGCAACUUGUGCAUAAAUGCCAUCACAGGACUGGACAUCAGCAAACUAACUGUCACACACUGUAGAAGAGGGCUGGCAAACACCUGCCAACAUGCUCUUCGUUCAGUUGCUGCAUCAUGGCAGGCAUUACUAAUGGAUCAGGAUACUCUCAAGCCAGACACAAGCAAUCACUUGGAGGGGCAGGUACAAUGAAGGCUGUUGAGUUUCAGUGAGAGAAGAGAAACUUCUCAUGUUGGCAUCUGUGAUUCAGAGAUGUUACUCAAAUUACCUUAAAAUCCUCACCUGAAAAGUUUAUGCCUCCUUCAAAAGGAGAAAAGUGUAUUUUAUUAGACAGAGCCAGGGCAUUCAUCCUGAGAGAGGGUCUCAGUUUAUUCCUACUGGAAUCCUGAUUAAAACAGUUAUUGGAGUUCCCGUCGUGGCGCAGUGGUUGACGAGUCCGACUAGGAACCAUGAGGUUGUGGGUUCAGUCCCUGCCCUUGCUCAGUGGGUUAACGAUCCGGCGUUGCCGUGAGCUGUGGUGUAGGUUGCAGACGCGGCUCGGAUCCCGCGUUGCUGUGGCUCUGGCGUAGGCCGGUGGCUACAGCUCCGAUUCAACCCCCAGCCUGGGAACCUCCACAUGCCGCGGGAGCGGCCCAAGAAAUAGCAACAACAACAAGACAAAAAACAAACAAACAAACAAAAACAGUUGUUGACUGUUUAUGAAUAGUAUCUAAAAAUGUAUACCAGUUGAUCCAGUAAUUCCAUGUAAAUCCCUCGUAGGUAAAAGCUGUUCAUUGUGGCAGUAUUUAUAAUACUAAUAACAGUAAUAUAAAUGCUGAAAAUGAGCAAAGAGAUAGAUAGUUAGUAUAUACUCAUUUGAUUUACUAUAUGUAGCAACUGAAAUGAUGUAAUUAGUGGAUAAAUGCAUUAAAAAUAAAUGUGAAAAGACUUGGAGGAUAUGAACCAGUACAGUGAUCAUCCCUGGUGGUCAGAUUAUGGAUACAUAUGUAUUCCUUUGUUCUGCUUAUCACUUUCUUCUUGAUAAUGUGAUUUUUUUUUCAUUAUAAUCAUUACUGUGGUGUAACAUACAUGGACGUUCUCAAAUCAUAAGUAACAAUCCACUAAGUUUGAUAGGGUGCACAUACCCUGCACGCUCCAGGUUAAGAAACAAAACAGCUUGGUUUUGCCUGGUUUGAAUUUUCCAAUAAUGGAAUCAAAAGCUAAGUCCUUUUUUUUUCUAUUGACUUCUUUCCCUUAAUGUGGUGCUUUGGAAACUAAUCCAUGUAGUCGCAUUUGGUUACAGGAUAUAUUCUUUGCCUUGCCAUAUAGUGUUGUUUUGUGACUAUAGCAUCACAUGAUUGUUGGGCUUUGUGGGGCUCUGCCAGCUGCAGUGCUGCUGCACAUCUUCUCGUACGUGGCUUUUGAUGAGCAUGUCUGGGAGGGUAUCUGUUUCCAUGGGAAUAUAUCUUGGGUGAAAUUACCAGGUUAUAGGACAUUAAGUUGCCAAUGGAAAAAAUAUACACAAGUGUAAAACAUAACAAUUUUUAAGACACCACUUGUCAAAGACAAAGUCACAAAAGAUUCAAGAAAUCCAGAGAAGGAUAGAAGUUACCCUAAGGUUUUGUGCAGCAGACACAAAAGUUAGAAUAAAAAUGGAGAAGCAAACAGACCAAAAAUCACAGCCAACCGAAUUAAACCUGAAUGAAAUCCUAAUACAUGUGAAGGAGUCACAGUUGUGAUUUUUUGCUGUUACUUUUCUCGCCAAUAGUACUUGCUGUAAUUCUUGCUCCACUGUUUUCCAGGCAAUAGCAAUAUUUGGAAAGAGGUGUGCCGAUCCAUUUCUCAGGAUCCAGAAACUGAACUCUAGUCUGACUUCUCUUCCAAUCUGAACGAUACAUUAGCUUGCAUCGUCCGGCAUGCAUCUCAGCCAUGAUACUUCCUGUAUUCUGACUCUACCCGUAUUUCCGUCAUUGCUUAUGAAAUCCUUUAUCCUCUGCCAUUAUUUUGUGCUUCUCAGAGCAUGUUGGGUUCAGAGGCUGGAAACCACGGGGAAGUGAGCUGAGGCUGGCCAAAUACAGAGGGGCCAGAGAAAGGGAUGAUGCUUUAGUUGAGUACAAACUCCAGAAAGUUUUAUGGGUGUGUCUGAACUUCAGUGUCCCCAUUUCUGAUGAGGUGCUAAGAAUUUCUUUUUUGCUGGGUUGCCAGUCAGUUGUCUCAGGCAGUGGCUGGCACAUAGUGUCUGUGCAGUAAGGAGCAGCUAUCACGUCACCAUCACCACUGCUGCCACCUUCACUUUCAUCAUGCUCACCUGAGAAAGAACAUCAAGUCAGCAUGGCAUCAUCAACCCAGCUUCUCUCUCUUCUGGAGAGCAGCUGGGCCUCUGUAUAUACAGCUGGGGACCUUGAAUGGGCAUGAUGGUGAAUGUGAACUUUAGGGAGGGAAGAGGGAGCCUUCUUAGCUGGACAGAAUCCACACCUCAAACCCUCUCAUGCAGGCACAGCUCUAGAGAUCCCUGCCUCUGGGUCACCAGGAAUUUUCUUUUCAACUGGAUCCAUCAGAACUUUCCUGCUGGAGUUCCUGUUGUGGCUCAGUGGAAACAAAUCUAACUAGCGUCCAUGAGGAUGCAGGUUCGAUCCCUGGCCUUGCUCAGUGGGUUAAGGAUCGAGUGUUGCUCUGAUUCGACCCCUAGCCUGGGAACCUCCAUAUGCUGUGGGUG